AGCAGCCGCGGUAAUUCCAGCUCCAAUAGCGUAUAUUAAAGUUGUUGCAGUUAAAAAGCUCGUAGUUGAAUUUCGGAAUUGACACAUCGGUCGUGCCUUAAGGGGUAUGAACUGGUGUAGUCAAUUUCUCACCUUCUGGAGAACCGCGAUGCCCUUAAUUGGGUGUCACGGGGAACCAGGACCUUUACUUUGAAAAAAUUAGAGUGUUUAAAGCAGGCAUUUUGCUUGAAUACAUUAGCAUGGAAUAAUAAAAUAGGACGGCAUGAUUCUAUUUUGUUGGUUUCUAGGAUCACCGUAAUGAUUAAUAGGGAUAGUUGGGGGCAUUAGUAUUCAAUUGUCAGAGGUGAAAUUCUUGGAUUUAUUGAAGACUAACUACUGCGAAAGCAUUUGCCAAGGAUGUUUUCAUUAAUCAAGAACGAAAGUUAGGGGAUCGAAGACGAUCAGAUACCGUCGUAGUCUUAACCAUAAACUAUGCCGACUAGGAAUCAGACGAUGUUAAUUUUUAAUGACUCGUUUGGCA
rnacentral:rRNA from 1 species